AAUUAUCCUCAUAAGUUUGACGAAAAGAGGUGCCGUUUUCUUUUAAUAAAUAAAAACCAUAAGAAUAAUAAAUUAUGGCAAUUAUUAGAAAGCGGUGGCACAGAAUCGGAGGCCCCGACUGUUUACUAAAAACACAGCUCAGUGCAAUCAUAAAAAUGAUAGUAUACUGAGUGAGAUUUGCCCGAUGCCAUUAAUAUAAGAAAGGUCAUUACAUAAAAGUGACUAAUCGAAAAUCUGGUUAAUAGCGGUCUUAACUAUGAGGAUCCUAAGGUAGCAAAAUCAGUUGGCCAUUAAAUGUGGUCCGGUAUCAAUAAUUUAACGAUGGUCUCACUGUCUCUACAACUUGCUCAGUGAAAUUGAAUUACGCGUGCAGAUGCGCGUUACUUACAGGGGGACGGGAAGACCCUAUGCAGCU
rnacentral:rRNA from 1 species